GGAUUGUAUCCAAAAAACAUAAAACCACGGCUGCCCAAAUCACGACAGAAUUCAAUGUGCACCUCAACUCUCCUGUUUCCACCAGAACUGUCUGUUGAGACAAUAAACUAUUGUGCUCUAAAACCAGGUGUUUCAGUUUCAUUGUCCAACCCCCGUAACUUUACGUUUUACUUUGUGCCUUAUCUUUGUUGGAAUUUUGAAAAGUGCUUUAUAAAUAAAAUGUAUUAUUAUUAUUAUUAUUAUUAUUUGUUUGAACAGGUCUCCUCCCAAGAGAAUGUUAGCUCUGUAUCAUCCGUCAUACAAUGGAUCUCAGGGUCUGUCUCGAACUCUGCAUCACUACAGUGCUGAGGACCCUUGCCGGCUUCCAGCACCCUGUCUGCCCUACUCGCCCUCUCAUCCACCUGGCCAGAGGUUCGAACAGUGCUCCUCACUGUGCCUGCGAGAUGUUACUCCCUACCCAAACGGAGUGAGCAUGGAGCACGGGCCCACAGCGAGAGGCUGGGGUGGCGGGGAGGCCGUCAGGAUUCUGGCCAGACGCAUCACGCCGGAUGGGAAGGUCCAGUACCUGGUGGAGUGGGGGAACGUGAGAGUCUACUAGCGGAGAGAGAGAGGAAGAGAGAAGAAGAAGAAGGUGACUUGAUGUGUCGGAAUGAUAGAGGGAGUACUGGAGCUCUCGAGUUAGAGAUAAAGGAUGAAAGAGUAGAUAACAUUAAACAGUAGGGAGGAGGAGCGACCCAGGAAAGCUCUAUGAACCUGCGUGAUCACAGCUGUGAUCGGGCUGUAUAUGUGCAGCUGACAAGAGCACUGGACUCGAGUCUCAGCAAGCAAAGAGAAAAAAAAAAGAAAAAUACAUAAAACCAAUCCAGGUUGAGCUCAACAGCAACUUCACUCUGUGGGAUUAUACUGUUAGAUCUCUUUUCCCCCGCAGGCGUCUCCUAUAUUUUGAAUACUGUUAGAAAACACCUUUAGAAUGCCUUGAACUUUACUAUCAUGAUUUGUAUUAUAUAUAUACGAUAUAAGCUACUCAUGGUAAUUCUAUGUUGUUUAUGCACUCAUCACAGUCAAAGAGAUAUGAUUUGCGAGAGAGACUUUUAUCAAGAGGUCAUAAAGUACACCAGUAAUUGUAAUAUUACACCUUAACAGGGAAAAAAGGGCACACUUGAGAAAUACUGAUAAUAUUCCUGAUCAAAUUCCUUCUAAAUAUGCAAAUGUUUAAUGAUAGAUGACCUGGCCUAAGCUGGUCUGAUCAACAACUUAAUUAGGCAGUAGAGAAAAGUCAAUUUCGCACGUCUCGGGUUCAUCUGAUACGCAGAUGUUAAAUGGCACCUUCAUUAUUCACUUUAUUCAAGCACACGUUCAAGUGCUCAAGCUUAGUGGACCCUUCUUUUAAUCAGAGUCAACAUUUCUGUAAGUUAACAUCAUAAUAAAUGCUGAGCUGAUGCAUUUUAAACA
rnacentral:lncRNA from 1 species